ACACAUGCAAGUCGAGGGGCAGCAUGGUCUUAGCUUGCUAAGGCCGAUGGCGACCGGCGCACGGGUGAGUAACGCGUAUCCAACCUGCCUUACACUCUUGGACAGCCUUCUGAAAGGGAGAUUAAUACAAGAUGUUAUCAUGAGUAAGCAUUUUCGCAUGAUUAAAGGUUUACCGGUGUAAGAUGGGGAUGCGUUCCAUUAGAUAGUAGGCGGGGUAACGGCCCACCUAGUCUUCGAUGGAUAGGGGUUCUGAGAGGAAGGUCCCCCACAUUGGAACUGAGACACGGUCCAAACUCCUACGGGAGGCAGCAGUGAGGAAUAUUGGUCAAUGGACGAGAGUCUGAACCAGCCAAGUAGCGUGAAGGAUGAAGGUUCUAUGGAUUGUAAACUUCUUUUAUACGGGAAUAAACGGAUCCACGUGUGGAUUUUUGCAUGUACCGUAUGAAUAAGGAUCGGCUAACUCCGUGCCAGCAGCCGCGGUAAUACGGAGGAUCCGAGCGUUAUCCGGAUUUAUUGGGUUUAAAGGGAGCGUAGAUGGGUUGUUAAGUCAGUUGUGAAAGUUUGCGGCUCAACCGUAAAAUUGCAAUUGAUACUGGCAGUCUUGAGUACAGUUGAGGUAGGCGGAAUUCGUGGUGUAGCGGUGAAAUGCUUAGAUAUCACGAAGAACUCCGAUUGCGAAGGCAGCUUACUAACCUGUAACUGACAUUGAUGCUCGAAAGUGUGGGUAUCAAACAGGAUUAGAUACCCUGGUAGUCCACACGGUAAACGAUGAAUACUCGCUGUAGG
rnacentral:rRNA from 1 species